UACGAAGGGGGCUAGCGUUGUUCGGAAUUACUGGGCGUAAAGCGUGCGCAGGCGGUGAGCUGUGUCCGAUGUGAAAGCCCCGGGCUUAACCUGGGAAUGGCAUUGGAAACUGGCUCGCUGGAGUGUGGCAGAGGGGGGUGGAAUUCCGCGUGUAGCAGUGAAAUGCGUAGAGAUGCGGAGGAACUCCGAUGGCGAAGGCAGCCCCCUGGGCUAACACUGACGCUCAGGCACGAAAGCGUGGGGAGCAAACAGG
rnacentral:rRNA from 1 species